AACGAACGCUGGCGGCAUGCCUAACACAUGCAAGUCGAACGAGACCUUCGGGUCUAGUGGCGCACGGGUGCGUAACGCGUGGGAACCUGCCCUUAGGUUCGGAAUAACUCCCCGAAAGGGGUGCUAAUACCGGAUAAUGUCUUCGGACCAAAGAUUUAUCGCCUUUGGAUGGGCCCGCGUUGGAUUAGCUAGUUGGUAGGGUAAAAGCCUACCAAGGCGACGAUCCAUAGCUGGUCUGAGAGGAUGAUCAGCCACACUGGGACUGAGACACGGCCCAGACGAGGAAGGGAGGGAGUAGGGGAGGAGAGGGAAGAGGGGGCAAACGGCGGCGACAGCAGAGGCGGGGGGGUGAUGCAGGGAUUAGUGGUGUAAAGAUUUUUAGAGCGGGAUGAUAAUGACAGGACAGGGAGAAUAAGCUCCACGUACCGCCGUGACAGCGGCCGUGGUAACAAGAGGAGGAGCAGUCGUCUGAGU
rnacentral:rRNA from 1 species